GUUUAGUAGUAAAAAACCAUGACCCGCGUUGAGCAGUAAAAAAACAUGACCCGUGUUUAGCAGUAAAAACCAAAACCAUGACCCACAUUUAGCAGUAAACAACCAUGACCCACGUUUAGCAGUAAACAACCAUGACCCACGUUUAGCAGUUAAACAACCAUGACCCACGUUUAGCAGUAAACAACCAUGACCCGCGUUUAGCAUAAAACAACCAUGACCCGUGUUUAGCAGUAAAAAACAAAAACAUGACCCUUGUUUAGCAGUAAAAAAACAUGCCCCACGUUUAGCAGUAAAACAACAUGCCCCGCGUUUAGCAUAAAAACAACAUGCCCCGCGUUUAGCAGUAAAACAACAUGCCCCGCGUUUAGCAGUAAAAACAACAUGCCCCGCGUUUAGCAGUGAAAACAAACAUGCCCCGUUUAGCAGUAAAAACAACAUGCCCCGCGUUUAGCAGUAAAAACAAACAUGCCCCGCGUUUAGCAGUAAAAACAAACAUGCCCCGCGUUUAGCAGUAAAAGUCGUAUUCCUUCAUGGGUUAUUUGAUUUAGUUGUCCUUUAUUUUGUUUCAGACAUAAAUACUGAACGUGAAUCCGGUGUGUUUAGAGACAAACUUUAGAAAGCACAGACCCUGCAGGACACACACACACACUCAGUCCUGUCC
ensembl:lncRNA